AGCGAACGCUGGCGGCAGGCUUAACACAUGCAAGUCGAACGGACCCUUCGGGGUUAGUGGCGGACGGGUGAGUAACACGUGGGAACGUGCCCUUAGGUUCGGAACAACACAGGGAAACUUGUGCUAAUACCGGAUGUGCCCUUCGGGGGAAAGAUUUAUCGCCUUUGGAGCGGCCCGCGUCUGAUUAGCUAGUUGGUGAGGUAAAGGCUCACCAAGGCUACGAUCAGUAGCUGGUCUGAGAGGAUGGCCAGCCACAUUGGGACUGAGACACGGCCCAAACUCCUACGGGAGGCAGCAGUGGGGAAUCUUGCGCAAUGGGCGAAAGCCUGACGCAGCCAUGCCGCGUGGAUGAUGAAGGUCUUAGGAUUGUAAAAUCCUUUCAGCGGGGACGAUAAUGACGGUACCCGCAGAAGAAGCCCCGGCUAACUUCGUGCCAGCCGCCGCCGUAAAAC
rnacentral:rRNA from 1 species